GCUUGCACCUUUCAAGUGAGUGGCGAACGGGUGAGUAACACGUGGACAACCUGCCUCAAGGCUGGGGAUAACAUUUGGAAACAGAUGCUAAUACCGAAUAAAACUUAGUGUCGCAUGACAAAAAGUUAAAAGGCGCUUCGGCGUCACCUAGAGAUGGAUCCGCGGUGCAUUAGUUAGUUGGUGGGGUAAAGGCCUACCAAGACAAUGAUGCAUAGCCGAGUUGAGAGACUGAUCGGCCACAUUGGGACUGAGACACGGCCCAAACUCCUACGGGAGGCUGCAGUAGGGAAUCUUCCACAAUGGGCGAAAGCCUGAUGGAGCAACGCCGCGUGUGUGAUGAAGGCUUUCGGGUCGUAAAGCACUGUUGUAUGGGAAGAACAGCUAGAAUAGGAAAUGAUUUUAGUUUGACGGUACCAUACCAGAAAGGGACGGCUAAAUACGUGCCAGCAGCCGCGGUAAUACGUAUGUCC
rnacentral:rRNA from 1 species